rnacentral:rRNA from 1 species
AACGAACGCUGGCGGCAUGCCUAACACAUGCAAGUCGAACGAUACCUUCGGGGAUAGUGGCGCACGGGUGCUUAACGCGUGGGAACCUGCCCUUAGGUUCGGAAUAACUCAGAGAAAUUUGAGCUAAUACCGGAUAAUGUCUUCGGACCAAAGAUUUAUCGCCUUUGGAUGGGCCCGCGUUGGAUUAGCUAGUUGGUGGGGUAAAGGCCUACCAAGGCGACGAUCCAUAGCUGGUCUGAGAGGAUGAUCAGCCAGACUGGGACUGAGACACGGCCCAGACUCCUACGGGAGGCAGCAGUGGGGAAUAUUGGACAAUGGGCGAAAGCCUGAUCCAGCAAUGCCGCGUGAGUGAUGAAGGCCUUAGGGUUGUAAAGCUCUUUUACCCGGGAUGAUAAUGACAGUACCGGGAGAAUAAGCCCCGGCUAACUCCGUG